CAACUUAUGAUGUGACGUAGUCAAAAAUAACGGUUUCUACGCACAUUAGAAAGGCAAAUUUUCAAAGAAAGGGGGGUUAUAAAAAGCAGGGUUAGUAUUGAGCUGGCACAGUCAGAUUUCAGUUGUGUGUUCAGUUCAUUUCAAGAGUGAAGCUUUGAGAUUAAGCAAGAAUUAUGAAGACAACCGUCCUCUCAAUCGUUAUACUCAGUUUGGCCUGCGUGUUUGCAGCUGAUAUAUCGAAAUCCAAAAAUAGCACGAAGAACGUGAAGCAUGAAGGCGCUACAUGCGACAAUAUAUCGGCUAAAAUAAAAUGUGGUCAAUAUGGGAUAACAGAGGAGCAAUGCUUAAGCAAUGCAAGGCGAAUCGAGCGAGUUUGGAUGCUAUUUUAGAGGUCAUGAAUGCUCUGAGGUGCUGGAGAUAGAACGACUACAUUGUGGUUAUCCGGGAAUCACGGAAACACAAUGUAAAAAAA